GAAAGGAAGAAAACUGUCUUAUAUGUUGUUAUAUUUCAGCUAAGAGUUCAAGGAAAAAUUCAGCCAAGAAAUCAGCUGACUCCUAAUCAGAGUUCUAAUGCAGCCAUUUAUAGCUCUUCAUGCUGCUUCAUCACCCAGGUCUAUGUGGGGAUGCGCCUGGAUAUUUGUCAAAGUAUCUUGACAGAUCAUAUGCAAUGCACAAGGCAGGAACAGUUUUCCCAGACACAUUAAAAAUGUCCACAUUCAAGGGGAAAAAAAAUCAACUGAUGCACUCACUGCAUCCUUGUUGACUGGUGGCUCAUUACAGAGGCUAAUAAGAGAAAAUACAUUCUCAUAUACUGAUCAUUGGAGCUCAGAGAAUUUGAAGAGAGCCACCUGCUGAGUAAGUAUCCAUUUUUGCUUCUGACUUUG
ensembl:lncRNA